rnacentral:rRNA from 1 species
GACGAACGCUGGCGGCGUGCCUAACACAUGCAAGUCGAGCGGGCGUCGCAAGACGUCAGCGGCAGACGGGAGAGUAACACGUGGGAACGUACCCUUCGGUUCGGAAUAACCCAGGGAAACUUGGACUAAUACCGGAUACGUCCGUAAGGAGAAAGAUUUAUCGCCGAAGGAUCGGCCCGCGUCCGAUUAGCUAGUUGGUGGGGUAAUGGCCCACCAAGGCGACGAUCGGUAGCUGGUCUGAGAGGAUGAUCAGCCUCACUGGGACUGAGACACGGCCCAGACUCCUACGGGAGGCAGCAGUGGGGAAUAUUGGACAAUGGGCGCAAGCCUGAUCCAGCCAUGCCGCGUGGGUGAUGAAGGCCCUAGGGUUGUAAAGCCCUUUCGGCGGGGAAGAUAAUGACGGUACCCGCAGAAGAAGCCCCGGCUAACUUCGUGCCAGCAGCCGCAGUAA